AAAAAAACAACAAAAAAAAAAACGUUUAUUUGUGUUUAAAUUCAAACAACACAGACUAAACCUGAUUGGUUCCAGAGCCAUUGAACGGCUCUGAUUGGUUCGUAUGAUAAUGAGCUCACAGCAGAGAGCUUAGUAAAUCAAAUAUGAUGUGUGCAAAUGUCCCUUGAAUGUGCAUUUAAGUCUAAAUUUAAACAGUAUUAUAUAGAGCGAUCGUGUCUCUUUAGGGCGCUUGGAGGAAACCACGCAAUUCAUAUGGAUUACUUUGGCGAUGUUUUUUUGCGAUUAACUUUUUGAAACGUGAACAUCUUUGAUGAAUAUUUUAAUCGGAGGAACAUAAUCUCUCAGAUUUCAUUAAAAUAUCUCUGCUUUUCUUUCGAAGAUGAAUGAAAGUCUUAGAUGGUUUGGAGCAUCUUAAGGGUGAGUGAUGACAUAAUUCAAAUUGUUUUGGGGGAACUAUGAAAUUAAUUAGAAAAUAUAGCGGUAUGUUAUUAUUUUUACCAGCUUCUGCAAGCAUGUAUGGCGUCUGGCUGUUGGAACCUCACUGUGACUUCAGAUAAGAACAAAGAUUAAAUUGUAAGAAGGGCUGCUUGUAAGAGCAUACAGUACAUCUGAAACUGCUGAGGCUGGUAAGGUUUUUGACUAUAUUUCCGACCAGGUACAUUGUUCUGUCAUUCUUAAAUAGAAAACAAAUCAUCAAUCAUCAUUUGCCUUUUUUUGUGCGUGUGAGAUACAGUAUAUUAACAUUUAUUGUUUUUCAGAUCAGCUGCUAUAGAAGACAAACUGAAAUCUGAGUACAGAGACAAGCAAAGGAAUACUGCAAGGCACUUGUGCAAAAUAUUUUAUGCCAGGACGACUAGGUUGUGCUCAGGUCUCCGGUACUUGCAACGACGCUCAGCUCCAUCGGCCCUCCGUCUGCGCCUUUGGAUCCACCAGCUCUGUCUCCAUCAGUCGGCCCCCAGAUGUCAGUAGCCACACCAUCUACAUCUUGGCUCCUCCCUCCCUCGACUCCGCUGUGUGUUGUCAGCACUGGGAUUCUCUGGGUCUGUGCCAUGUGCCAAACUCCAUCUAAGCCGCCAGGGCAUCAUCGUCAUCCUCCCAUCACCAUCCCUUCACCACAUCCUGCCAUCAUCCCGCACCUUUGCCUCUCACCAUCCCUACACCAUCUCCUCGUCCACCUCCAAAACCCCCUCCAUCCCUCCCUAUUCUGUUGCUUGAACUUUAUCAUCUUCAGUCUUUGCACACACAUCUAUUCACUUCUGCACUUAGUUUUUCUGUAAAUGUUUAUGUUUUUUUUUCUUCUUCAGAAAAUUGCAUUGUAAUUUUAAUUUAUUCAUUGAUGAUACAGGUAUAACU